UUUUGAAAAGUUCCUGUUCCCAUUACCUCGGUGGCCAUGAUGAGUGCUCAGCCCAUCUUCCAGAUGCUAGAGCCACAGAUUGCAGUUGCCAAUACCUAUGCCUGUAAAGGGCUGGACAGAAUUGAGGAGAGACUGCCUAUCCUGAAUCAGCCAUCAACUCAGGUUGUUGCCAAUGCCAAAGGUGCAGUGACUGGGGCGAAGGAUUCCGUGGCCAGCACAAUCACAGGGGUGAUGGAUAAGACCAAAGGAGCAGUGACUGGCAGUGUGGAGAAGACCAAGUCUGUUGUCAAUGGCAGCAUCAACACGGUCUUGGGAAGUCGGGUGAUGCAGCUUGUGAACCUUGGGGUAGAAAAUGUGCUCACCAAAUCAGAGCUUCUGGUAGACCAGUACCUCCCUCUCACUGAAGAAGAGCUAGAAAAAGAGGCAAAAAAAGUUGAAGGAUUUGAUGUAGUUCAGAAGCCAAGUUACUACGUUAGACUAGGAUCCCUGUCUACCAAGCUGCACUCACGUGCCUACCUGCAGGCUCUCAGCAGGGUUAAAGAAGCUAAGGAAAAAAGUCAGGAGACUAUUUCCCAGCUCCAUUCUACUGUUCACCUGACUGAAUUUGCCAGAUAAAAUGUGCAUAGUGCCAACCAGAAAAUUCAGGAUGCUCAGGACAAGCUCUCUUUCUCAUGGGUGGAGUGGAAGAGAAGCCUUGGGCAUGAUGACACCGACGAAUCCCACUGUACAGAGCAAAUUGAAUCACGUACUCUUGCUAUUGCCCGAAACCUGACUCAGCAGCUCCAGACCACAUGCCACACCCUCCUGUCCAGCAUCCAAGGGUUACCACAGAACAUCCAAGAUCAAGCCAACCACUUGGGGGUGAUGGCAGGCGACAUCUACUCAGUGUUCCACAAUGCCACCUCCUUUAAGGAAGUGUCUGACAGCCUCCUCACAUCUUCAAGGGGCAGCUGCAGAAAAUGAAGGAAUUCUUAGAAGAUGUGAUGGAUUAUCUUGUUAACAACACACCCCUCAACUGGCUGGUAGGUCCCUUUUAUCCUCAGCUGACUGAGUCUCAGAAUGCUCAGAACCAAGGUGCAGAGAUGGACAAGACCAGCCAGGAAGCCCAGCUAAUGGGUUGUCUGAGCAAAAACAACCCAUUAAAUCUGCCCUUGUCACCAGUGUAUGAUGCAACCAGCCAGAUGGCACCUUGUGUUACAUGGGAAUCAACCUGCUAGGUGACUCUAAAUGGGGAAGUAGCUAGCUAGGAAAAAAGGCCCUCAGUUGUAGUUAUUUCCAGAUGAAUUGAGAGAAUUAGCAGAUGGAUUCUGUUUACUUGGCAGAAAGAAUGAUAGGCUUGUCAGAGCCUAGCCAGAACUCGCAAAAAAUUCAAGUGCACUUAUGGUCUCAUUUUGUGGUCAUUGUACUGCCACUGUUAACUUUUUGCAUCGAAUAAAAACACCUUCAUGUGGGCGGUUGUCUGCGUGGUAUGGUCUGAGCAGACCUCAUCUCUGGUUUAUCCUCAUGAUGCUUGGUUGUACAACUUGACUUGAGUUUCUUGUUUCUCCUAAAGGAAGACUAUCUUUGAAUUCAAUAAACUUCACUGAAGAAUAGA